GACGAACCGUGCGAACGUUGUUCGGAAUCACUGGGCUUAAAGGGUGCGUAGGCGGGCUGCCAAGUUCGGGGUGAAAUCCUCCGGCUCAACCGGAGAACUGCCUCGAAUACUGGCGGUCUCGAGGGGGAUAGGGGCAUGCGGAACUAUGGGUGGAGCGGUGAAAUGCGUUGAUAUCCAUAGGAACUCCGGUGGCGAAAGCGGCGUGCUGGAUCCCUUCUGACGCUGAGGCACGAAAGCCAGGGGAGCAAACGGG
rnacentral:rRNA from 1 species